rnacentral:lncRNA from 1 species
AUCUCGCUCACACCACUCUCUCCCUCAAGCACAGUCGCCGCCGCCAGUUGGUUAGCUUUCUUCAUUGUCACCAUCUCACACCCAGCCGCGGAAGAAGCAGCAGGUCCCGGGGCUCUCUCCCUCGUCAUCCCCUCGUACUCAGAAGCACGCCGUCCCUGUGCAAGUCGUCGCCGGCAGCAGAGAUAGCAGGUCCCGGUGGGCGGGUCUUCAUUCUUCGUCUUACUUUGAGCCUCGCCGUCAGCUUCCUGCGGCGCACCCCGAUUUGGUCAGUUCCAAUUAAUUUCCCCUUUCUUUUUGUUUUAGUUGUGUUGCUGUAAUUCAUCAAUGUACUUUGAUGAUGUCGUUGAAAAUUGAAUUUGUUGCUGAUAUUUGUCUUUGAAAUCUUUGAAUUUGUUGCUGUUCUGAAAUGAUCAUCAAAUGUGUUCAUGGCUGAAAUAAUUUGUUACUGAUUGAACUUGAAUGCACUUUGAUUUUGUUGUUGAAAGUCGAAUAUGUUGCUGAAAUUUGUAAUUAGAACUUUGAAUUGGUUGUUGUUCCAAAAUGAUUACUUAAAUUUGUUCAUUAUUGAAAGAAUUUGUCACGGAUUGAACUUGAAUGCAAUUUGAUUUUGUUAUUGAAGGUUGAAGUUUUGUUUAAGGUUGAAUGUGCUGCUGAAAUUUGUUGCUGGAACCUUGAAUUUGUUGGUGUUUUGAAAUGAAAUGAUCACUUAAAUUUACUUUCUCUGUAACUGAAUUCUUUACUGAUUGAACUUGAGUGUUUUGUGUUGUCUUGCUUCAUAUUGUCAUGAAUCUUAAGUUCCUCUUUUCUUGCUGUUAUGGUAGUUCUAUCAAUCUGUUGGGUUUUUAUUAUAUUAAAAGAUAUAAUUGAUAUUUAGUUUAUUGAACCCAGUAUAUCUCCAUAUUUUUUAACCUCAUGAUUUGAAGUUCUUGACAUGAGAUUAAUGAUACCCAAUUAUUUUUGGUGUUUCUAAUGCUUCAAACCGUUUAUUACAGUUUCCUUCCUGCUUUGUAUAUUAUAUUUUUAUGAUUUAUAUCUUUAUUUUCAAAUUGAAUGUAUUAAGUUUGUUACUUUAUGACUUGUAGAAGGGGUUAUUUAAUGUGAUUGUGAAUAAAAAUAUAUGAAUGAAAUUUAGGAAAAAAAUACACGAGACUAUGUCAUUUUUAUACACGUUAAACAUUGGUAUUACAACUAAAAUGAAACCUUAGUCCAGAUAAUCAUGGCGCCUGAUAGGAGUUGGAUGUCAUGAAGGCAAGAUUGCACUGGUCAUCUAAGCGAGGAAUUUAAGAAAGGUGUUGUGGAAUUCGUAGAUUUUGUAGAAAGAAACCCGACAGUCAUUGAUAGUUUAGGUCGCAUUCUUUGUCCAUGCACAAAAUGUAAGAACAGGAUUAGGGAUGAAAUAAUUUGGGUCGAAAAGCAUUUGUGUGAUCGUGGGUUUAUGGAGGGUUAUACAAACUGGACUGCUCAUGGUGAGGAAAGAUGGGUUGAACAGGAUGCACAAAUGUUACCCAAGAACAUGAGGAAGAGAAUACAAAUCCAUAUGUAGACAUGGUUAUUGAUGCUGCAGGUGAUAACUUAAAUGUAAUGGAAGGUUUAGAAGAGGAUCCAAAUCCAUCAGCGUCGAAGUUUUAUAAGUUGCUGAGGAGUGCUGACGAACCUUUGUGGGAUGGCUGCACCAAGCAUACAAUAUUGUCAGCUGUAACCCAGCUAGUAAACUUGAAAUCAGAAUUCAACAUGAGUGAGAGCUGUUAUAAUCGAAUGGUUGCCAUAAUCAAGAGCAUGCUCCCAGAAUCAGAGAAGUUGCCAGAAGAUUUUUAUCAGUCAAAGACAAUGAUUCAAGAAUUAGGAUUAGGAUAUGAGAAAAUUGAUGCUUGUCCGAAUCACUGUAUGCUAUAUUAUAAAGAAACAAGUGACAAGAUGAUGAGCGGAUAAUUUAUACGCUUUUUGGCAUUGUUUUUAGUGUGUUUUUAGUAGGAUCUAGUUACGUUUAGGGAUGUUUUCAUUAGUUUUUAUGUUAAAUUCACAUUUCUGGACUUUACUAUGAGUUUGUGUAUUUUUCUGUGAUUUCAGGUAUUUUCUGGGCUGAAAUUGAGGGACUUGAGCAGAAAUCAGAUUCAGAGGUUGAGAAGGACUGCUGAUGCUGUUGGAUUCUGACCUCCCUACACUCAAAGUGGAUUUUCUAGAGCUACAGAACUCGAAAUGGCACGAUUCCAAUUGCGUUGGAAAGUAGACAUCCAGGGCUUUCCAGCAAUAUAUAAUAGUCCAUACUUUGGCCAAGAAUAG